rnacentral:rRNA from 1 species
AGAGACAGCAGCCGCCGCGGUAAUACAGAGGGUGCAAGCGUUAAUCGGAAUUACUGGGCGUAAAGCGCGCGUAGGUGGUUUGUUAAGUUGGAUGUGAAAUCCCCGGGCUCAACCUGGGAACUGCAUCCAAAACUGGCAAGCUAGAGUAUGGUAGAGGGUGGUGGAAUUUCCUGUGUAGCGGUGAAAUGCGUAGAUAUAGGAAGGAACACCAGUGGCGAAGGCGACCACCUGGACUGAUACUGACACUGAGGUGCGAAAGCGUGGGGAGCAAACAGGAUUAGAUACCCGUGUAGUCCCUGUCUCUUAUAC